rnacentral:rRNA from 1 species
UGACGGUACCUGACUAAGAAGCUCCGGCUAAAUACGUGCCAGCAGCCGCGGUAAUACGUAUGGAGCAAGCGUUAUCCGGAUUUACUGGGUGUAAAGGGAGCGUAGGCGGAAGGCUAAGUCUGAUGUGAAAACCCAGGGCUCAACCUUGGGACUGCAUUGGAAACUGGUUUUCUAGAGUGUCGGAGGGGUAAGUGGAAUUCCUAGUGUAGCGGUGAAAUGCGUAGAUAUUAGGAGGAACACCAGUGGCGAAGGCGGCUUACUGGACGACAACUGACGCUGAGGCUCGAAAGCGUGGGGAGCAAACAGGAUUAGAUACCCUG